GUGCGCGUCAGCUCGUGUCGUGAGAUGUAGGGUUAAGUCCCGAAACGAGCGCAACCCCUAUUCUAUGUUACAAGUGUCUCAGAAAACCGCCUCGGUAAAACGAGGAGGAAGGUGGGGAUGACGUCUGGUCCGCACAGCCCUUAUGUCCUGGGCUACACACGCGCUACAAUGGCCGAUACAGUAGGAAGCCAAAUCGUAAGAUGGAGCUAAUCCUUAAAGUCGGUCUCAGUUCGGAUUGAGGUCUGAAAUUCGACCUCAUGAAGUUGGAUUUGCUAGUAAUCGUAGAUCAGCAAUGCUACGGUGAAUACGUUCUCGGGUCUU
rnacentral:rRNA from 1 species